rnacentral:miRNA from 1 species
GCAUACUGUAAGUGCUCUUUGU